rnacentral:rRNA from 1 species
AGGACGAACGCUGGCGGCGUGCCUAACACAUGCAAGUCGAGCGGGACAUUGCGACGGAGACGAAGUACUCGUACGGAGUCAAAGAUGUAAUGUCUAGCGGCGGACGGGUGAGUAACGCGUGAGCAACCUGUCCCUUACAGGGGGAUAACACAGCGAAAGUUGUACUAAUACCGCAUGAGACCACAGCAUCACAUGGUGCAGGGGUCAAAGGAGCAAUCCGGUAAGGGGUGGGCUCGCGUCCGAUUAGAUAGUUGGUGAGGUAACGGCCCACCAAGUCGACGAUCGGUAGCCGACCUGAGAGGGUGAUCGGCCACAUUGGGACUGAGACACGGCCCAAACUCCUACGGGAGGCAGCAGUGGGGAAUAUUGGGCAAUGGGGGAAACCCUGACCCAGCAACGCCGCGUGAGGGAAGAAGGUUUUCGGAUCGUAAACCUCUGUCCCAGGUGAAGAGGAAGAGACGGUAGCCUGGGAGGAAGCCCCGGCUAACUACGUGCCAGCAGCUGC